UAUUUUCCGGUAGACGAUGGGGAUGCGUUCCAUUAGAUAGUAGGCGGGGUAACGGCCCACCUAGUCAACGAUGGAUAGGGGUUCUGAGAGGAAGGUCCCCCACAUUGGAACUGAGACACGGUCCAAACUCCUACGGGAGGCAGCAGUGAGGAAUAUUGGUCAAUGGGCGAUGGCCUGAACCAGCCAAGUAGCGUGAAGGAUGACUGCCCUAUGGGUUGUAAACUUCUUUUAUAAAGGAAUAAAGUCGGGUAUGCAUACCCGUUUGCAUGUACUUUAUGAAUAAGGAUCGGCUAACUCCGUGCCAGCAGCCGCGGUAAUACGGAGGAUCCGAGCGUUAUCCGGAUUUAUUGGGUUUAAAGGGAGCGUAGAUGGAUGUUUAAGUCAGUUGUGAAAGUUUGCGGCUCAACCGUAAAAUUGCAGUUGAUACUGGAUGUCUUGAGUGCAGUUGAGGCAGGCGGAAUUCGUGGUGUAGUCGGUGAAAUGCUUAGAUAUCACGAAGAACUCCGAUUGCGAAGG
rnacentral:rRNA from 1 species